rnacentral:tmRNA from 1 species
UCCCUUGCAACGCGCGCACAGCGCGCCUAUGUCUGGCAUGUCUUUCGGGACUAUGGACAUAAACGCGCUCGUAAUAAGCGGAUCGGACCCGGGGGCGGUACCCGGCGUCUCCACCAAUACUCUGGUCAUUUGCCAGCGAUGGGGACGAAACAGGAUCGACGAACGUCUAAAGGGGUAUUGCUUUGUCCCGGUGAGUUACCACCGUUAUCGGUACGCAAAAGCUAGUUGCAAAUGACAACAAAGCACCGAUGGCCCUCGCAGCGUAAGCUGUGCGGAAAAUCGAAACCUAAGCCCUAGCGUUUUGCGACGUUAGGCGGGGUCCGCAGGUACCUGGCAACAGAAACCUGCACC